rnacentral:tRNA from 1 species
GAGAUAUUAGUAUAAUAAAUAUAUAACUUUGUCAAAGUUAAGCUAUAAACUAACCUUUAUAUAUCUCUU